UACGAAGGGGGCUAGCGUUGCUCGGAAUCACUGGGCGUAAAGGGUGCGUAGGCGGGUCUUAAGUCAGGGGUGAAAUCCCGAGGCUCAACCUCGGAACUGCCUCUGAUACUGGCGAUCUUCGAGUCCGGGAGAGGUGAGUGGAACUCCGAGUGUAGAGGUGAAAUUCGUAGAUAUUCGGAAGAACACCAGUGGCGAAGGCGGCUCACUGGCCCGGUACUGACGCUCAGG
rnacentral:rRNA from 1 species